ACGGAGGGUGCAAGCGUUAAUCGGAAUCACUGGGCGUAAAGCGUGCGUAGGCGGUCUAGCAAGCCAGACGUGAAAGCCCUCGGCUCAACCGGGGAACUGCGUUUGGAACUGCUUGACUUGAGUCCGAGAGAGGGUGGCGGAAUUCCGGGUGUAGGAGUGAAAUCCGUAGAUAUCCGGAGGAACACCGGUGGCGAAGGCGGCCACCUGGAUCGGUACUGACGCUGAGGUACGAAAGCGUGGGGAGCAAACAG
rnacentral:rRNA from 1 species